GUAGGUGGCAAGCGUUGUCCGGAAUUAUUGGGCGGUAAAGCGCGCGCAGGCGGUUCUUUAAGUCUGAUGUGAAAGCCCACGGGCUCAACCGUGGAGGGUCAUUGGAAACUGGAGAACUUGAGUACAGAAGAGGAAAGCGGAAUUCCACGUGUAGCGGUGAAAUGCGUAGAGAUGUGGAGGAACACCAGUGGCGAAGGCGGCCUUCUGGUCUGUAACUGACGCUGAGGCGCGAAAGCGUGGGGAGCAAACAGGAUUAGAUACCCUGGUAGUCCACGCCGUAAACGAUGAGUGCUAAGUGUUAGGGGGGUUUCCGCCCCCUUAGUGCUGCAGCUAACGCAUUAAGCACUCCGCCUGGGGAGUACGGCCGCAAGGCUG
rnacentral:rRNA from 1 species